UACGGGGGGAGCAAGCGUUGUUCGGAUUUACGGGGCGUAAAGGGCGCGUAGGCGGCCACCGCAAGUCGACUGUGAAAUCUCCGGGCUUAACCCGGAAAGGUCAGCCGAUACUGCGGGGCUAGAGUGCAGAAGGGGCAACUGGAAUUCUCGGUGUAGCGGUGAAAUGCGUAGAUAUCGAGAGGAACACCUGCGGCGAAGGCGGGUUGCUGGGCUGACACUGACGCUGAUGCGCGAAAGCUAGGGGAGCGAACGGG
rnacentral:rRNA from 1 species